AUGAUGAAGAGUGGCGGCUUGAUUUUACGAAGUGGGAUAAAAACAAGUGAAAUCAGUGUGAUUUCUCCGGGGAUGGUUCGUCCCGCUGCUGCUCGGUCUGGCCGACGCCGUCGGGGCCGCCCUCCUGGGAUUUGGGCUGCCGUCAUUGCCCGUGUGCGCCGCGCUGGUGGCCGUGUUUCUUCGGAUUUUUCCUCGACGACGGCUGAUGCUGCUGCGCGUGGCCGUCCGGCUGUAGUUGAUUCAGCAUGUCGUCUUCAGUCCGGUCCUCGCCGGCCGUUUCGUUCUUCCUGGAAUGGUAUUCACCGAUUGGACUCGCGUCAGGAUGUUAAUGUGCCCGUUGAUAGUUGCCGUCGGGAGAUUUUAUUAGGGAAGCGGCCUGUAGAUUUCACCAUUGGUAUUCCUAUUAGUGUGGGCUCUUCUUCAGCGGUUGCCGGGUCUGCUCCGGCUGUUUGGCCUGCCAGUGAGCGAACUGAUACUUUAUCUGUCCAAGUGGUUGACAGACCGCGUGUUUCUCCUUCUGGUUUUCCUGCUGCUGUCCAUCUUUAUGAGUCUUUGGUUGGUGCUACGUCUCUUCGUGCCGUCCAAGAGUGGUGCCCUUAUGUGCUGCUGGUGCCUUCGGUCGGCCUACUCCUCUUGUUAUGCCUACCCCUGUUAUGGAGCACUUUCGUGUUCUGCGUGCUCGCCGUAAGCGGACGUUGGUGCGAUCAUACUAGUCCGGCUGGAAAAGAGUACGUGGGAUGCAGCCUCCGUUUCCUAAGGAUUAUAUCCAGCUGCUUAAGGCUACUUUUAAGGGGGCGUUCAUAUUAUGGUGGACCGGAUUUGUGUUGCCGGAAAUGUGGGGCCUUCUUUUGGUUCCGCGAAGGAUCUAUUCACCAUGCUGACGCGACUACUCGCUGUCUUGUUUACACGGGUUGUUGUCGGACGGGCAGGAUUUCGUUGCCAAAAUUUGGUGACUGGCCUUCUCCUUUGGAUAGGCUGAUGCGUUUUGAUGGUGACGCGGUUUCCUCUCGGUUCAUGCGAUUAAUACGGCAGUAUAAUUCCAUGUUUUGUUUUACAUCGUUGGGUGCACAGGUUGAUCAUAGUAUUAAUGUUGGAGGUGCUCCAUAUGUUUUCAAGAUGAAUGGGGUGGUCUACCAUCGUAUUGGUUCGUUGCUGCCGGCUGAGGGUGCACCUCCCAAGUUCGCGCAAUUGUACAUGGUCGAUUCUGCUGACGAGUUGGACUGUAGGUUGAAUGUGUUUGACAGAUGA
rnacentral:rRNA from 1 species